AACGAACGCUGGCGGCGUGGAUUAGGCAUGCAAGUCGAACGCGAAAGUUACCUUCGGGUGGCGAGUAGAGUGGCGAACUGGUGAGUACAAGGUGGCUAACCUGCCCUUGAGUGGGGGAUAACUUCGGGAAACCGGAGCUAAUACCGCAUGGUCUCUUUGUCUUUCGAGAUGGAGAGUAAAGCAGCAAUGCGCUUGAGGAU
rnacentral:rRNA from 1 species